rnacentral:rRNA from 1 species
UACGUAGGGUGCGAGCGUUAAUCGGAAUUACUGGGCGUAAAGCGUGCGCAGGCGGUUUUGUAAGCCAGAUGUGAAAUCCCCGGGCUUAACCUGGGAAUGGCAUUUGGGACUGCAAGGCUGGAGUGCGGCAGAGGAGACUGGAAUUCCUGGUGUAGCAGUGAAAUGCGUAGAUAUCAGGAGGAACACCGAUGGCGAAGGCAGGUCUCUGGGCUGACACUGACGCUCAUGCACGAAAGCGUGGGGAGCGAAACAGG